GCCUGUCCCCGCGCACGCUCCCCGCCGGCCCCCACGCAUACGCCCCCGGCGCUGCUGCGGCGGCUGGCUUGGGAGGGGGUCGAGGGAGCGGGAGCUUGGGGUGGGCUUCGGGAGCGCAGGGAACGGCGGGAGCCGGGAGGUGACGGCUAGCAGCGUGAGAAGGCCGCUGGCUCCUGAGAAAUCCCCCUCCUCCAGGUGGUUUUGUCCUUUUGGACCAAUUAUCUAACCUGGGCCUGGACUCCAUCUACCACUGUCCUGCCUGGUUCACUGCAGCUCACUUCAUCUUCCUGUGCCUUCUCUGAAAGGGCCCCUCCAAAAGUUUCCUGGGUAUGUCCCCUCAAGAAACUCUCAAACAACUGAGAAGGUGCCUCGACAUCUGAUUUGCCCCAAACCUCUAUACACUGGACAUCUUCUGAAUAAGGCUGUGUUGUAUGUUGGGACAAGCAAAGGGAUGGAAAUCAAGAAUUCUGGGUUUUAGUCCUGACUGUCACUACAUGGCUGUGUUACUUCUGACUCUGUGAAGCAGAACUCGGGCCUCUAGCGUCUGCUAGUCUAGAUCUAAAGGUGUUUCCUGAGGGACAGUUUGGCCUGGCAUGCAGGUACCUCUGCAGACCACAACAGUGCACCGAAAACACCCCCUCCCAGCACGCACACAAGUCUGGCUCCUCAGCCAAACAUCAAACACCAACACUGCUGCCCAUGCCAGAUGCCAAGUGAGAUAAUGUGUGUUAUACCCUUAGUGUGUUACAAAGAGAAAAGAUUAAUAAAUGUUAGCUAUCCUUAUCUUCAUUAUCUAAAUAAGGCAUGUGGAUCUCUUUUCAUUUAAACUCACAAAAUACCUGCUUAGAAGGCC
rnacentral:lncRNA from 10 species